rnacentral:rRNA from 1 species
GCUAAAAAUUUAGCCCCACCCAUCCGCAUAUUCCUUCCGUAUUUAUCCCUAUAAACUAAAACAUUUUCUAUAUUUAGUAAAGGCGAUUAAAAAAUUUUUCUGGAGCAAUAACCAUAGUACCGCAAGGGAAAAAAAUGAAAUAAAAAUGAAACAUUUUCAAGCAUAAAAAAGU